rnacentral:misc_RNA from 1 species
AUCAAUUUCUCGCAAAGGUACGAAAGCAGUUAGGGGUUAAAGAGAUAAAGGGGUUAUGCGAAAACGUGUCGGUGGUGACGGGAUCGCAAUGAAAGUCAAUAAACCGUGAUGAGUAAGAGAGAGUAACAGUCGGAGUGGUAUUAAUAAAUUAGUGUCUAGUUGCUACAAGCAGCAGCAGCAGCAGCAGCAGCAGUAACAGGAGAUGGUGGAAUAACGGAUAAAGAAGAAUAGGAAAAUCGAUGGACAAGAGACAGCGAUGAAGACGAAGAUGGAAAGUGGAUAUUCGAUUCUUUUCCUUGCUGCGAGUUUUCGAGCUGCUUAAUCCCUUCGAUUUAAGCAAGGAAACAACGAUGAUCGACCACAAAAGAUGGAUCUUGCGGAUCCUCGUUUUGGCAAACGUUCACGCCGCGAUCGCUUCGAUCAACCUAACAGAUUCAUCGGAGAUCGAUCAAUCGAACGAGAUGGACUCGUUCACCACGACGAAGAGGACGUUUCUUGACAGGUGUCUGGUGAAGACCGAGCCAGGCCCGUGCAAACAGUACGUCUCCAGGUGGACGUUCAUCAAGACUGAAGGGAAAUGCAAGACUUUCUCUUACGGUGGCUGCUUAGGGAACGAGAAUCGUUUCAACUCGGAAGCCGAGUGUCUAUAUUAUUGCGUGGGUGGUCCUGAACACACACUGUCUUAUUUGGUCACGAAGGGGAAUGUAUUUGUAACGAGCACAGCGACCACGAACACACUGCCUUCUACCACCGCCAUCACUUCACGACCAACGUUUUCACCACCAGAACCGACAAAACCGCCUGUGCCAAAGUACAAACGAGGAAAGGAGCUCACCUUCAUGGAAUCUGGCUACGAGAAAACUUUUAUGUUCGCCCAAAGCAACACGUUUAUUCAACUGGACGGUAGUGGUAUAAAACCGUUUCAACUUCGACUGUGUCGCGAGAUAUCGUUCAAAUUUCGCACAAAAUUGCCCCAUGGUUUGCUGGUCUAUCACAGCGUCAAGGAUCGGCCAGAGAUCCGUUUAGACCCGUAUGCUCUGUACGUGAUCGUGGAGAAAGGGCAGCUGAAAGUGGUGCACGUGUUCGGGAAACGAUCGACCAGUUUGACGGUCGGCGAAGGGUUGAACAGGGAUGAAUGGCACAGCGUUUUGGUGAGGAUCGACGUCCACGGGGCGAAAUUGAUCGCCAGGGUGGACGAUAAACAAGAGGAGACCACGCUUGAAGUUUUGGAACACGUGAUCAAUUAUGGAGUGUCCGAGGAACUGGCGUCUGUCGUCCUUAUCGGUGGGUUAAGCUCCGAGGAACGAUUGCACGGCGUAAAAUACAUAAUAGAAUCAUUCGUUGGCUGCAUAAGAGAUAUGGUUCUCAGCUCGGGCAAAUCGGCCAGCGAUUUGUUGCCCAUUCAACCUCUGAUUGCCACAAAACACGAAAACGUGAGAGAGGGUUGCAUAGACAAAUGUAGAACACGAGAAAAUCUCUGUUUCAUCUCGAGUCAAUGCGUGAAUCACUAUAAUAGUUUAACUUGCGACUGCUUUGGAACGAAGUACGAAGGAGAACGAUGCGAUGUAUAUACGGCCACGAUCUUAACAUUAAGAGGUUCUUCGUACGUAUCUUUCCGCGUUUACGACUGGAAGGACAGAGUUCACUCGUCCGUGAACAGGAUAAGUCUAGCGUUCAAGACGAAGUGGGACGACUCGGCUUUGUUCUACGCUUCCGGAGAAAUCGAUGGUACGCCGCACUACGUGGCAGCCUCCAUAGUGAACGGAUCGGUGCACAUCGAAUUGGAUUUCGGGCACAACUCGAAGAUCGCCACCGUGCUCGGCGAUUACAUCACGUCGAAUCAUUGGAACAAUCUGACGAUAUUCCACAACGGAUCGUUGGUGUUCGUCAGCCUGGACGACGAGAUUAAAAUACUCGAAAUUCCUGGUGAAAAUUACAAUAUGAUCAUCGAUCCUGAGAUCUAUAUAGGCGGUGGUCCGGAAUUGCACAAGAAGAAGGGACUUUUGUCGCACAAUAAUUUCGCAGGCUCGCUGAAAUACGUUUUCUUCAACGACAAGUCCAUUAUUUAUGAGUUGAAGCGUUCCAACCCCAUGGUGCAUUAUAUCGGUGUGCUCGAGCCCGAAUACUACGAGGCGGAUGUUGAUGUGAUUCCAAUAACAUAUCCGUUCGCGACCAGCCACAUUUGGUGGCCAAUAGCACGGACCGACUCCCUUAAAUUGAACUUCGACUUCAAGAGUUCGAAGCCUGUGGCUGUGGUCGCGUCUGGGGACGUGAAAUGUAAUCGUAGCCUCGGAUACUGGGAGCUCCAACUGGUGAACGACGAGAUCCGUUUCCAACUGAUCCCGGUGUUGGGCGAGAACGUCACUGUCACGACUGCAGUGAAAUUCCCGCCUUACAACACGUCUUGGCACGCGGUCGAAUUAAAUUACACGAAAGGGGAGAUCAGCGUUCUGGUCGAUUAUCGGAACAAGCAGAGCAAAUUGUUCCCGAUGACGUUCGAGCUUGGCGACAGAGUUAUCAUAGGAAGUGGAAAGAACAACACGGGUUUGGUCGGAUGUAUGCGCGAGAUACGGGUGAACGACGAGAGGAUAGAGCCUAGAUACGUGAUGAACACUGACAGAGUUAUGGGAGAAGUAGCGUUGGAUAAUUGCCAAUUCAUCGAUCCUUGUACCAGGCCGAACACUUGCGAGCACGGGGGCAAAUGCUCGGUGAAAAAAGACGAAAUCAGCUGUGAUUGCACCGACACCGGUUACGUCGGGAAAAAUUGCCAUUUUACUAAAUUCAGAAAAACGUGCGAGGAAUUAGCAUUGCUAGGAUACACCCAGGACGAUGUGUACAAAAUCGACAUCGACGGUAACGGCAGAUUUCCUCCUGCCCUGGUCAAAUGCGAGUUCCAAUCCAUCGAGAACUCGACAAAGACUAUCGUGGAACACAAUUUACCCUCGCAAGUCGAUGUCAGAUCGAUCGCGGAAUCUGAUUUCUCGUUCAACAUCAAGUACAGACAAUUCACCGCGGAGAUGCUUCAAGAAUUGAUCUCACACUCGUUGUAUUGCAGUCAGUACGUCAAGUACGAUUGCUACAAGGCACCAUUGGAAUUGCACAGCGCCACGUGGUUUCUCAACUCGAAGGGAACCACCGUGGAUUACAUUGGAAAUGUGAAUAGAGGAUCUUGUCCUUGUGGAAUGAACAAGACAUGCAUUAAUCCAAAUUUAAGCUGCAAUUGCGAUUUCACUGGAAAUGGCGAUAAAUGGCUUUCCGACGAAGGAUAUUACGAAACACCGGAUUCUUUAGGCAUCACAGGAAUGGUAUUCUUGCAACAAAGAGAUCUCGAGGAAGAUGCACAAGGACGAAUUACCUUAGGCCCAUUAGAAUGCGUCGAAACGAAUACACAGAAAUACGUUGUGACAUUCACCACUUCGCAAUCGUACAUCGAAGUACCAGGUUGGAGAAAGGGGGAUAUAGCGUUCAGUUUUCGAACAACUGGAGAGAAAGCUAUCCUUUUGUAUCAACCACCUAUCAGAAACAAUUAUCCAUCUUUCAUGGUUGCUUUGACCUCAGAGUAUCGAUUGACGUUUAAUUUCACCCUCAGUACGGGUGUUAUAAAGGGUAUAGAGGUGGAGAGUAAAAGAAAAUUGAACAAUGGCGAAUGGCAAAAGAUUUGGAUCGAUUACAAUAAUUAUCACGUCAGAUUAAUGAUCAAUACAGAUUCUCAAAUGCUCGACCUCGAGGACAAAUUUGGACCGUUCGAGGGUUCUAUGUUCAUCGGUGGAGCUACCGCAGAACAUUUGAGAACUUCUUCGGUUCAGCAAGGACUCAUAGGCUGUUUUCGAGGUUUGGUCGUGAACGGGGAGAUCCUGGACAUUCACAGUUACAUGUCUGUUCAUUUGUCUGAGAUCAUCAAAGAUUGCAAACCUUUCUGUCAACCGAACAAAUGCCAGAACGGUGCCAGGUGCGUAGAAUUGUGGAGCAACUACGAAUGCGUCUGUGAGAACAAAUGGGCCCAUUUUGGCGACUAUUGCGAGAAGAACAUAAACAACGAGGCGUUGACAUUUACCUCACAGAGCGCUUUUCUGAAGAAGAACUACUUUGGCACGGAUGAAAAGGACGAAGAGAAGUCGCUGUUGAAGAAUAUACUGAUGGAGAAUAUUCUAAUCAAUCUGAGAACAUACGACACUUAUUCGUCGAUCUUGUACGCGAACGAUAACUUGAACAACUUUGCCCAUCUUUACAUUUCGAAUGGCACUAGUAUAGUAUAUCUGUUCAACGCUGGUAACGAGAUUAAGAAUAUCACUGUGGAAUAUCCGGUGAACACAGGGAUCUCGAUCCAAAUCGCGAUUAUUCGAAACGAGAAAUCAACAACGCUUCAUGUGAACGAGUACAAUUCUACAUUGAACGCUACGCCUGUACUGCUGGACACGUACUCGAACAAACCUUGGAUAAACCCUGAGAAAGAAGUGUUAGCUCCCCAGAGGCCGCCAGCAUCGCCCACCAGCUACUUCCAGGUGAAUCUAGGGGGCUUCGAUCCGGAUGAUUUGCUAAGAGUCGGCAAAGAGGACGCGCAAAUUAAGGGGUACGUCGGCUGUCUUGGUGGAUUAAUGAUCGGGGAAUACGUGGUCAAUUUAUCUAAGCUUGCCAACGAGGCUAAUCACGAGGGCAGCAAAGAGAUACUGCCCAAUUGUCAAACGAAAUGCGACGCAAUGCCUUGCAAGAAUUUGGGGAUCUGCACCGAAGAUUUUGAGAGGCAGGAAUCAUUGUGCAAUUGCGAAUUAACGUCGUAUUUCGGGGAGCAUUGCGCCGAUGAAAAAGGAGCAGACUUCAGUGGUGAGAGCGUUGUUCAACGAGAGUUCGAUCUCGUCGGAAAAGUGAACCAAGUGAAAGUUCAACUCGCAUUCUCGACCAACGAGCUUCGACAACGUACCACAGCCCUUUUGCUUUUACAGACAGAAAACAAAAGAAGCUACUACUUGCUCGUUGCUUUAACGUCGGAAGGCCAAUUGAUUUUCGAGGAGGACAGAGAAGGAUCCGCAUUUGGAGUACGUUUGAACGAUAUAAAUUUUUUGAACGGAGCCAGGCACAGUAUUUAUUACGUUCGAGACAAUAGCACUGUCACGUUUUUGAUCGAUCGUGAACCAGUGACACUGUUACCGAUUCCAGCAUUGACUCUCGGAGAGGACGAGAGCCCGGGGGUGACCGAGAUCCAACUUGGCGGUCUGAACACGACAGACUCGCGAUUCAGCGCGUACAAGGGAUACACCGGUUGUCUCAGCAACGUCGUGGUAUCGAUCAACGGGGGACCCGACAUGAAGCCGCUCGAGGAAUAUAUGCUAUUUACGAAACAGGGAAGCGAAACCGUCAGGGCGACGAUGCCUGCCGGCGUAAGGAGCGCUCAGUGCGCUGUCUUUCACGUCCAACCGCAUGGCCUUGAUCCACCCAAAAACGAUAGCAACGUGGGUGUCGACAAAGUGUGGGUGGAGGACCCCCCGGAGAGGAUAUCGUACAAGUCGCAAUACACGAACGCGACCCAGGAGGAGCAAGGUGCCGGUACUUACAUCUUCAUCGCGUUGUGUUGCGUAUUCGUGACAGCGGUGAUCGGUUGUAUCUACGAGGUGUGGCGGAGCGCGAGGAAGGAUCGGCGUCGAAGACGCGCAUCCGGUGUUUCCGUCGCCUCCACGGUUCCCGCGCCCGGCUCUCAGAGAUGGCAGACGCAACAAUACACGGAUCCGUUAACGGGUGGCGUGAAAACGGUCGGGUUCAAGAACGUGGCCGAGGACGAGAAAAGACCGAACGGCACGCACGUGAAGCCCCCCCCGGUCAAGGAGUACAAACCGCUGGCCAAUGCGGAGUCGAAAGACUUAAUUAACGAUAAAAGAGUUCAUAUCAUAGAUGAAGAGCCAGAGAAGAAGGAGCUCCUAGGGUCAAUGGAAGAUCUACAGGAGGAACCGGAAUUGGAAGAAUGCGAAGAAGAGGAACCAGAUGAAGAGGAUGAAGAUGAAGAUGAAGAUGACCCCAAAGAACAAAAUACAGACGAGGAAGAGAUACAUCAAAAAACAGAACGUACUGAUGAUAAUGAUUUUGUCAAGUCGCCAGAAAAUUCGUCUAGGAUAAGUGUCGAAGAGAGUGUUGAUUCCUUAAACAACAAUCCAAAACACGAUGAAACAAAAACGCAAUACGAAGUUUAAAGGAAAACACGCUAAAUGGUAUUGGACAACGAUCAAGAAUCGAAAAUUUAUUUUCAGAUUCUGCAAGGCGUUACAUUUACAAUCUGCCAUCUAUCUAUUUAUUGGAUCGAAGAAUUUUUGGAUAUCCAUUGAACUAUUUUGGUGUUGCGAAAUAUCAAUCAAGAAAUAGAAAUUCCAUUGAAUCGGUAUUAUCUUUGGAUUAAUGGAUACUUCCCGAAUUUAUAAAAAAAUUUUUAAUUUCGCGCCAUGUUGUGUGCGCACGCAUCACAACUCUGAAGAUAAUGCGAAAUAAAAAAAUUUUAAUGUACAAC